GGCCAGGAGGGACGAGGGGGAGGAGCCAGGAGGGACGAGGGGGAGGGGCCAGGAGCGGGAGGGGGGGAGCCGUGGCGCCGCUCUUGGGCCGCGAGGCCUCCCCCUGGGCCCGCGGCGCCACGCGGAGACCGCGACAGCAUCAGCAGCAGGAGGUUUAAGAAUCUGCCGGUGUCUGUGCUGGAGGUGGACGUCUGGAUAUCUGUGCGGUCUGGAGCGGUGGACAAUAGACUCCUGCAGCUCAACCAGUCCUGGACCUUCCCUCGGUCGACUCACCCUCUAAAGAGU